UACGUAGGGGGCAAGCGUUGUCCGGAAUCAUUGGGCGUAAAGCGCGUGUAGGCGGCCCGAUAAGUCCGCUGUGAAAGUCCAGGGCUCAACCCUGGGAUGCCGGUGGAUACUGUCGGGCUCGAGUCCGGAAGAGGCGAGUGGAAUUCCUGGUGUAGCGGUGAAAUGCGCAGAGAUCCGGAGGAACACCGAAGGCGAAGGCAGUGUCCUGGCGAGUGACUGACGCUGAGGUGCGAAAGCCAGGGGAGCGAACGGG
rnacentral:rRNA from 1 species